GGCAGUGUAGCCAAGUGGUUACGGCGUCACGUUUAGGCCUUUUGGACUUCCACCGUGAUGGGUUUCCCGCGCGAGUUCGAAUCUCGUCACUGUCA